rnacentral:rRNA from 1 species
GACGAACGCUGGCGGCGUGCCUAAUACAUGCAAGUCGAGCGCAGGAAACUGACGGAACUCUUCGGAGGGAAGGCAGUGGAAUGAGCGGCGGACGGGUGAGUAACACGUAAGGAACCUGCCUCAAGGAUUGGGAUAACUCCGAGAAAUCGGAGCUAAUACCGGAUAGUUCAACGGACCGCAUGGUCCGCUGAUGAAAGGCGCUCCGGCGUCACCUUGAGAUGGCCUUGCGGUGCAUUAGCUAGGUGGUGGGGUAACGGCCCACCAAGGCGACGGUGCAUAGCCGACCUGAGAGGGUGAUCGGCCACACUGGGACUGAGACACGGCCCAGACCCCUACGGGAGGCAGCAGUAGGGAAUCUUCCACAAUGGACGAAAGUCUGAUGGAGCAACGCCGCGUGAGUGAUGAAGGUUUUCGGAUCGUAAAACUCUGUUGUAAGGGAAGAACACGUACGAGAGGAAAUGCUCGUACCUUGACGGUACCUUACGAGAAAGCCACGGCUAACUACGUGCCAGCCGCCGCUGUAAAAC